UACGUAGGGUCCAAGCGUUAUCCGGAAUUACUGGGCGUAAAGCGUGUGUAGGCGGAUGUUUAAGUGCAACGCGAAAUCCUGUGGCUCAACCAUAUGGACUGUGUUGCAUACUGGGCAUCUUGAGGAUGGCAGAGGCAAGUGGAAUUUGUAGUGUAGCAGUGAAAUGCGUAGAUAUUACAAGGAACACCAAUGGCGAAGGCAGCUUGCUGGGCCAUAUCUGACGCUGAGACACGAAAGCGUGGGGAGCGAACAGG
rnacentral:rRNA from 1 species